GCCCCCUUAGCUCAGUGGUAGAGCAACGCUCUUGUAAAGCGUAGGCCGUCAGUUCAAUCCUGACAGGGGGCU
rnacentral:tRNA from 1 species